UGUAGAGUGGAGCAGUUAGGAAGCUCGUGAGGCUCAUAAUCUCAAGGUCACAGGUUCAAAUCCUGUCUCUACAA
rnacentral:tRNA from 1 species